AACGAACGCUGGCGGCAGGCUUAACACAUGCAAGUCGAGCGCCCCGCAAGGGGAGCGGCAGUCGGGUGAGUAACACGUGGGAAUCUACCCAUCCCUACGGAACAACUCCGGGAAACUGGAGCUAAUACCGUAUACGCCCUUUGGGGGAAAGAUUUAUCGGGGAUGGAUGAGCCCGCGUCGGAUUAGCUAGUUGGUGGGGUAAAGGCCUACCAAGGCGACGAUCCGUAGCUGGUCUGAGAGGAUGAUCAGCCACACUGGGACUGAGACACGGCCCAGACUCCUACGGGAGGCAGCAGUGGGGAAUAUUGGACAAUGGGCGCAAGCCUGAUCCAGCCAUGCCGCGUGAGUGAUGAAGGCCUUAGGGUUGUAAAGCUCUUUCGCCAGGGACGAUAAUGACGGUACCUGGAUAAGAAGCCCCGGCUAACUUCGUGCCAGCAGCCGCGGUAACAC
rnacentral:rRNA from 1 species